AUGGAGAGGCCGGCGCCGGUGAGGAAGUCCCACACCAACACGGCGGACCUGCUGGCGUGGCCGGAGGGGGCGCAGCCGGAGCUCGCCGACGGGGCCACGCCGCCGCCCAACCGCCGCCCGCACCAGCCGUCGGAGGCGAUCCACAAGGUGGUGUUCGGCGGGCAGGUCACGGAGGAGGAGGCCGAGAGCCUCAACAAGAGGAAACAAUGCUCGGCUCCCAAGUGGAAGGAGAUGACAGGAAGCGGCAUAUUUGCAGCUGGAGGUGAGGCUGAGGAAGACGAAUCCGCUAACGCUUCUGCAACACCCGUCCGAACGGCUUCAAAGAAUUAUCAGGCAAUCAGUACCAUAAGUCACAUCUCCUUUGCUGAGGACGAAAGUGUUUCUCCCAAGAAGCCAACCUCCAUAGCCGAGGUGGCAAAGCAGCGAGAGCUAAGUGGCACGCUCCAGAGCGAGGAUGACAGCAAGCUGAAGAAGCAGGUAUCCAAUGCGAAAUCGAAGGAGCUGAGCGGCCACGGCAUCUUUUCUCCUCCAGAGGACCUCAGGCCACGCAACUCGGAGAACGGCUCGACCUCGCAGACGCCAGGGAAGAACGCACAGGUGAGCAGCAUCAAAUUCGGAGAGGCCGACGACGCCGACAGCGUGGUGAAGACCGCGAAGAAGAUCCCGACGAAGAAGUUCAACGACCUGACGGGCAACAACAUCUUCAAGGGCGACGCCGCGGAGGCCCCCGGCACGGCGGAGAAGCAGCUGAGCGACGCCAAGCUCAAGGAGAUGAGCGGCAGCAACAUCUUCGCCGACGGCAAGGCGCCGGCCCGGGACUUCCUCGGCGGCAUCCGCAAGCCCCCCGGCGGCGAGAGCAGCAUCGCGCUGGUCUAA
rnacentral:rRNA from 1 species